GAGAGUUAAGUUUUAUUUGGGACAAAAUGAAGACUUAAGCCUGGAAGGCAGCACCACAAGAAACCACUUCUAGGAGGGGAGGGUGUUAGCUAAGAUAUACAGGAGUUUUGUAACAGAGGGCAGGUAGUCAGAACAAAAGAGUACUGUUAGUCAAAGAAAACUAGAUAUCUCAAGUUCAAAAAUGUAGUGCUUUUCUGUGUAUGGGAGUAUUGCAAGGGGCUGGGCUCACUGAAAUCCUUCCUUUGAGAAGCAUCUCAGCUCUCUGGAGCAAGUACCGUGUGCUUUUCACAUCCUGAGGGCUCACCAUCACGAAUGACUGCAGUCCGAUGGCUGCGAGAUGGCAGGUAUUCUUUGUUCCUUCCUGAGUUCCCUCAGGGCUCACCAGCUCAGAGGUGGCUGCAAUUGCUGAAGACUGUGACAUCUUUAUUUACUGCUAUAGGAGGCAAUAUUGUAUUUCUCACCAGCAAUUUGUGUUGUCAGGAGUUUUUGUUUUAGCAACUCUUAUCAGUGUGCAGUGAUUUAAUUGUUUUUCAAAUUAACAGAAUUUUAAAUGUAUAUUAUAUAAUGAGUGUAAUUAAAACAAAAUACCAGUGCAUAAAAGGAAGAUAUGUAAAAAUAUGCAAGCAAUUGAAGAAGCUAUAAAAAGAACACCAAAAUUAACUUUUUUUAAUUUAGAAAGCAUAGACAAAAUGAGAAUAGUUUGCAACAGCCCCAGAUUUCUCCCUGAAGGGAACAGCAAGCAGGGUAGUGUAAGGGGAAAUCAUAUACAAAUUUAAACAACAGCUUUACACUGGGAACUAUGUCGGGUCACUUAUGAUGAAUUAUGAUAAUGUGAGAAAAAAGAAUCUAUGCAUGUAUGUGUAACUGGGUCACCAUGCCGUACAGUAGAAAAUUGACAGAACACUGUAAACAAGCUAUAAUGGAAAAAAAAUUAAAAUGACUAUAUAUAUAAAAAAUAAUAAAAUAACAGCUUUAAUUCUCCCUGUUGAAAACAAGGGAAGAGACUUAGCCUCCCCUUCCUUUUCUUAGAGCAUUUUCUUUAGGAAAGUUGCAAAUUUUUUUUCUCUCUCUCUUUAAAAUGAAUGUAAAUCUUUUUAAACUUUAAAUGGACCCCUUGAAUACUGUAAACCAGCUAUAAUGGAAAAAAAGUAAAAAUCAUUAAAAUAAAUAAAUAAGUAAAUAAAUUGACCUCAUGACAGAUUUAUGACCCAGGAAUGUCUUUCUAAAGGACCUGGGAGCCAUCCCAUUGAAAUGUAAUCAUCAAGGAAGAUGGUGCCCUAACACCCCCUUUUUGUGGGAAGGUAGAAGCCUUCAGCAGAUUCCUUGGGCUCCUCACUCCAAACUGCAAAAUACCUUCAGCCACAAAGAUAUGAGAAUUUUGUUUUUCCUUUGGAUGAAGCAAAUUAGCAAACACAGAUGGCCACUCUAAUUAUCAGGUGAAUCUAGGAUAAAUUAUGCGUGGCAAAUGGUGCUUUCAGCUCCUCUAACUUCAGGGCUAGUUACUAUUUAUCUUGAGAACAUGUAUAUAGUGGGUUAUAUCUGCUUGGCUGCAUAAAUACCUAAGAUUCCUGUCUUUGCAGUCUCUUAGCAGAUUGCCACAUGCUUCACAUUUUGUUUUAAUGCUUACUCAGUGACAAAUUGUUUUCUUUCUCUUCUACCUUUGUGGAAAGUCUUCUGGGAUGAGAGGAGGUUUUGUUUUUAAUUAUAUAUCCCCCAACAAAAGCAAAUGCCAUGGACUGUGCACGCAGGUCAGAAAGAAGAAUUUUCCAGAUUCAGAGCAAGAUGAAGAAAAGACAAGUUUAUUGAGGCAAGGAACACUGUUAACACAGUGGGCUGACUUCCUGAUAAUGAAAGAGAGCCAAUCCUGGAGAUAAAGAAUAGUUUAAGAUGAGAGAUGUGGGAGUUUUCAUUGUGCUUAGCAGGUUAUGAAAGCAACUAGUAUCUAUGAGGAUGUGGAUUCAAUCCCUGGCCUCACUCAGUGGGUUAAGGAUCUGGCAUUGUCGUGAGCUGUGGUGUAGGUCACAGAUGUGGCUCAGAUCCUGUGUUGCUGUGGCUGUGGCACAGGCCAGCAGCUGCAGCUCCAAUUCAACUCCUAGUUUAGGAACUUCCACAUGCUGCAGAUGCAGCCAUAAAAAGAAAAAAAUUUAAAUGUGCUCUCUGUUUACUUGAAACAAAUAGACUGUCAAGAUGGGUUUAUUCAGUUUCAGCACAAAAUUGCAAUUCAGAGCCUGCAGCCAUGGUGAUUCAUGUACAAGUCCGCCCACAGCAAGGGAAGGAGAAUGCUUUUAUAAAGGAGAAAAGGAAUUUGGGAGGGCUAUAGUAAACAAAGGAUCAUGGCUUUUCACUGGCUGAGUCCUUGCCAGGAGAAAAGAGGAAACUUUACCUGUUGGGCUCUGCAACAAUCAUAGGGCACAAGGGCUCCCCCUCCUGGUCUCCCAAAUCUAUUCAACUGAGUUCUCUUUUUUUUUUUUUUUUUUGUCUUUUCCUGGGAACCUCCAUAUGCCGCGGGAGCAGCCCAAGAAAUAGCAACAACAACAAAAAGACAAAAGACAAAAAAAAAAAAAAAAAACAACAAUCACUUAAAGUCUCUGGGGGGAAAAAAAUUAAACAAAGUCCCCAGAAAUUUACCUAAGGGUAUGCAUUCAAGAAAUCCUCUUUAAUUUCAGUGAGACAGUGAGACUAUGACAAUGGGGCUAGCAUUUACUCCCUACACACACAUAGGUCAGGUCCAAGUACUCCUGGCGGGGCAGCUCAGAAGAGAGUGAACUUUUUUCCCCACCAACCAGAGUCGUAAGGUCUGGUGUCACAGUUUCACCCAGAGAAGGGUGCCUCUCCUCCCAGCCUUCACCUCAGCUCUAUUCAAAGCAAGCACAGUCAAGAUAUUUGGGCCUCAUUGUAAUGUAUUAGCAUCCUAAAUGACAGACCUACCAGUGCCAUGACAGUUGAUGGUUGCCAUGACAACAACCAGACUAGCCCAUUCAAGGACAGCAGAGGAGUGCAGUAUCUGACCUGGUCCAAACCAAAACCCCUGUUCUCAGAUAACUCAUGAACAUUCCUUCUACUCUUUCCAAUUCCCUCCCUUUUACCUCAACCCUCCUAAAUAUUUAGUGUCACUACCAAAUUGGGUUGGGAAGUUGAUUUGCAAACAAGAUUCCCACGUCUCCAUUCUUUGGCCAUUGAAUAAAGCUUGUGCUGUCCCAGUUUCAAUACUGGCUGCAUGAAUCCAACGGGGAGAAGUCUCAGCCUGGACUAGGACGCUUAUGUGUCCCAUCGACUAAUUCAGUACCAGUCUGUGUGUGUGUAUGGUUUUCUAUAUUUAGGUUUCUGAUAUCCAACUAGAUUUGGGCUUUGAAUGGUUAUAAGUGGAAGUUCUCAGGCUAGGGGUCAAAUCAGAGCUGCAGCUGAGGUCUACGCCACAAUCACAGCAACGCAGGAUGUGAGCUGCAUCUGUGACCUAUGUCUAAGCUCGCAGCAACACUGGAUCCUUAACCCACUGUUUUUUAUUACAGGGGGUCUCAGCCAAAAACUGAAAAGGGUAGAGGGAAAAUUCUUUUUCAACCCCAUGGAAUAAUCACAGAUGAGUUGUGUGACCCAGACACAAAGCAAGUUCUGAGGCCAGGGACCAAACCCAGGCCACAACAGUGACAAUGAUAGAUCCUUAAGUGCUAGGUCACCAGGGAGCGCCUAUGAUCAUUUUUAACGACUGCAUAAUGUUCCAUUAUAUUCUUUAGUCUAUUGCAACCAUGUUUGACCAUCCAUUAAGUUGCUUUUGGUUUUCUGCUAUUGCAAACAAUGUUGAGACAAACCUCUCUGUAUAUUUGUUUAAUUAUUUCCAUCAGACAAAAGUCCAAAGAACGGGGUUUCUGAGUCAAAUGGCAGACAUUUAAGACUUCUGAUGCCAAACUAUUCUCCAAAAGCAAAAUUCCCAACAACAGUUCAACAACAUUAAAGAACACUAGCUUCCCCACACCCUCACCAACACUGGCUGGAAGGUAUAGUUUCAAAGAUGAGUGCUGCGUACUGGUGCUCUUUGCCUCUUUCUCCACUGACAGCCUGGAAUACAGGUGCUUGAUAAAUCAAUCCAGGCUACAGUCUAGUAGACGCUCUGAUCCAAUAUGACUGUUCUGGGUAUCAAAGAACUCUCCUUCUGGUUCACUGCCCUGGAUGCUGGCAUCGUGUAGACCCUAUAAAGGCAGUAGCUCCAAGCACAUUACACAGAAGGCCCUCACUCUAUCAAACCACAGGCCAUCUGCUCCCAGGCCAUCCGUUCAGCUAGGAAGCUCCUGCUCCUGGUCUGUAUAGCCCUCGGAUUCCUGGUGACCCCAGGUAAACUGGAUGAGGGAGAAGACAGAUGGGACUGGGGGCCAGGAACACUAAAUCUUUGCUUGGCUGACAGACAAGCCAGGUUGAAAGCAGGCAGGGCUCAUCUCAAUGGGUUCCAACCUAAAGUUGGAAUCUCCCAACAUCCACCACUGGCCUCAAUACCCCAUACCCAGCCACCACCUUCUACCACCCUGUACAAAAACACAGUUCCUGGAGUUCCUGUUGUUGCUGUUGUAGCUCAGCAGGUUAAGAACCCGACUAGUAUCCCUGAGAUGUGGGUUCGAGCCCUGGCCUCGCUCAGCGGGUUAAGGAUCUGUCACUGCUGUGAGCUGCAGCAUAGGUCACAGAUGGGGCUCAGAUUUGGCAUUGCUGUGGCUGUGGCAGAGGAUGGCAGCUGCAGCUCCAAUUCAACCCCUAGCCCGGGAACUUCCACAUGCUGUGGGUACACCCUAAAAAGACCAAAAAAAAAAAAAAAAAAAA
rnacentral:lncRNA from 1 species